GUUAUUUUGUUGAAAAAUUAUUUAUUUUUGCUAUAAAAUUAAAUUUUAUGAUUAAAAAUAAUUGCCCAUGGGCUUAUAGCAACAAAAUCACUACAAAUAAUUUUUUUGUGAAAAAAUUUCUUCUACCACAAACUACAUUCCUUUAAUCACAAAUUAAUUUGUGGCAAAGUCUCAUAUUUGUUGUAGUGAGAGAGUGAGCUUUUUAGUCCCAAGAAUGUGACAAGGAAGAAAUAACACGGAGCCACUUGUGGAUCUUAUAUUAAAGGAAGAAGAUAGUUGUUUCUUUGAAAAUAAGAAAAUAGCACCAAUCUUGGAUUAAGUUUUUUUGUGGAGUGAGAUUCCCAUGAAUAAUAUUAAUUGUAAUUAUUGAUUUGACCUUCAGAGUAUUUGUUUUGUUUCUUAUUUUGAUGUUUGAGAAAUUAAUGUGUUGUUAUCUUGAAGUAGUUAAUUUGAAUUCUCUUGUUAGCUUGUAUUAUUGAUUUUAUAUAGAAAUGAUGCCUCUUUAUUAAGUUUUUUCAUCCAUCUAGAAUUUGCUUUUUGGCUAGAUGCCAAAAAGCAACAAUUACCCUUCACAUUGGAUAACAUUCUAUUUAUAUUUCACAACUACUAUGUAAUGUAAUAAUUCUUUCAUCCUCAUUCAUACUUUUACACACUACCUUGUGUUAGUAGAGUGCUUGUACGUGUGAGUGUUUUAAAGUGAAAAAAGAAAUCCCGCAUUGGAAAGUGAUGAGCACUUUUAGUGGGUAUUUAUAUUAACCCACCUCUUUUAGCUUCAUGAGCUCGUGGAGAGGCCAAAGAGGGCCUCAUGUGCUUACGGGAUGCACGAUGUGUCUGCACACGCAUCAUACAAGGGUUUAAUUCCCUCAAUUUUGGUUUUCAAAUCAAGUCAAAUGACCUUUAAUUCUCUUCCAUUAUGAGUUUAUUAUCUGGUGUAAAUAGGUUUUUAUUUGGGUUUUAAUUCUGGAGUCGUUUGGCCUUUAUGGCUUAUAAUCGUUUUACUCUUUAAAGCUUAUAACUGUUUGGCCUUUAAGGCCCUUGACUAUUCACUUAGAGAGACUGCCUAGAGUGUCCUCUUCAGUGUUACACACCUAUAUGCCACUACAUCUCUCUCUUGACUGCUCUCGCAUUCAACCACUGCUUCUCUCUCUCUCUCUCUCUCUCAUUCUACCAUUGUAGCCUCAAUUUCUCGAUGCAGUUUUCUUAAUAAAGACACGCUAUCCGAACACUACUGGUUUUAUUAAAAAUAAAUAAAAAAUAAAACAAACAUUCUUUUCAGCCUUUCGUUUAGAGGAAUAUCAGUUCGAGUUGUAUUACUCCUUGCUAAAGGUGUGCACUGAAAGCAAGGUUUUUUGGUUGUUGAAUCUUGGAGGGAGGUUGUUGGAUCCCUUUGCACCUCGUUUUGAUACCCAAAGAGGGCAAAUCUACUUUAAGGACAAUGAUUAUCACACCUCAACUUAAUCUAAUAAGUGUCCUUUCUCACUUUUCCUAUUUCUAUUUGUUUGUUUUGGGCUUAGUCAACUUUCUUAUCCCUUUCUUUGAGACCUAAUUUUUUUACCAACAAUCUUAAAGUAUACGAUUUUUUAAAAAGAAUGAAGACCUUCCUAGUUCACACCCAUCCUGAUACCUCUAAGAUUGAUCCAUUUAAUGGAACAUUCUUUAAGAGAUGGUAGGAAAGGGUCUUUUAUGCUAUUGACGUAGUGAAUUUGAGACAUAUUUUGACUAACCCAAAACCCAAAGAUAGGUCUAAAAAUUUGCCUACCUAGGAAAUUGGAAAUAAGCAAGUUAGAUGUGUCCAUUCAUAAUGCACUCUUUAAUCAACUUUUUGAUGUCUACUAUUGUUAUAAAGUAGCUAAAGAUAUUUGGGAUGCCAUGAAAAAUAAUCACAUUUUGGAACCUAAAAAUAUGUUAUAAGGAAUUUUAGAAAAAUUCCAAAUGACCAAGGAUAAAGAUGUUUCAUCUCAAAUCCAUGACUACCACUUGCUUAUAAAUGACCUUGCUAAUGAAGACCUUAAAUUGCUUGAACCUUUUGUGGCUAGAUACUUGAUUAAGACUUUUCCAAAUUCCUAGAAAGACUAUAAAAAUAAUAUCAAACACAAAAGAAAACAAAUGUCCCUUGAAGAUGUCAUAAUCUAUAUUAGGAUUGAGGAACAUAACAGAAAUAGGGACAAAGUUGAAAAAGCCAAAGAACUGUCUUCCAAGGCUAAUGUGGUAAAAGAUAAACCUAAACCCAAAAACAAUAAGUGCAGAAAGCAAAACUCAAGGACCAAGCCCAAUUCAACAAACAAGGUCCAUAACCCGACAAUAAAAAAGAGGGGUAACUAUUUUGUCUAUGGCAAACUUGGCCGUCAUGUAACCCAAUGUUGGAAGAAAACUGAUAAAUCCAACCCUAAAGCGAAUCUAGCAGAGACAGAGGUAAUCAUUGUUGUAGUCUCAUAUGAGAUGAGCAUGGUCACUAGUAUGAAGGACUAAUCUGAAGUAAGUUCGUUAGAACUCAAGAGAACCUUGGAUGCAUCUUCUUUUGAUGACUAGAUGACAACCAAUCUUAAUCCUUGAUUUUAAAUCCUCUGGUGUGUGGGCUGAAAUGGUCCCAUAAUGAUAGAGAACUUGUAUCAAGUGGUAAUGAUAAUCAGCAUUCUUAGCAACCAGUAUAGAAGUUGACAGAGCACACAGCUGCUGUGAAGGCCAUAGCUUGGUCACCUCACCAGAGCGGCCUCCUCGCAUUUGGAGGUGGGACUGCCAAUCUGUAUAUCCGCUUCUGGAGCACUACAAAUGGGAAUUAAACCAUUUUGACAUAGGAAGCCAGGUGUGUUUUCAACUUUUGUGGGGUUGCAAAUCUAACUGGUCAUAGUUUGCGAGUACUCUAUCUUGCCAUGUCAUCGGAUGGUCAGGCAAUGGUGAUUGGAGCAGGGGAUGAGACAUUGCAGUUUAGGAAUAUCUUCCCUUCCAUGAAAACACCAGCACUAGUCAAAGAUACAGGUGUUUGGUCAUUGGGAUGAAGGCAUAUUUGAUGAAAACUCUGCACAUAUGGGCACAAAUCUAAAGUAAAAUUUAGUUGUGUUGUUUAUAUUUAACCACAGCCAGGCAGAGAAGUGGCGUAGGGACAGAAUCAACUCACUACUUGCUACUCUCGGUGAGCUAAUCCCCAAGUCUAAAAAGAGAUGAAGCUAAUCCCCAAGUCUGAAAAGCUGCUUGUCUUGGACUGGGCUGAGUCUCUGAUCCUCCAAGUGAAAAACCCAGCAAAAACGCUUCUGAUCAUGACUUGGAGACACAUGAUAGGUAGUGGUCAUUUUUGAAGUUCUCCAAAGAUCAAAUAACUUGCAGACUUGCUCACUGAUGUUUAUGAUGUUCCACUAUCAAUCCUCUUCAAGCAAGAACGGCAGAUUAGAGAAACCAUCAGGAGGCACCCACAAGACUACCCCUCUGAUGUUCUUGUUUAGGCCAUGCUUGUGGAUGAAGAUCUAGGAAUUCUAACUUUGGAAAGAUUUAAAUUUCAGAAAUGGCCAUCGGAAGCUUAUAAAGUUGUAUUGGAUUUGAAGUUGUAUUUUUUUUUUUUACAAUUUUUUUUAUAUUUAAUCUCA